GAGAGGGGAGAGCGUAGAGGAGAGAGGAGAAUGGCUGUCGUAGAGUAGAGAGGAGAAUUGCUGUCGUAGAGGAAAGAGGAGAGAGGAGAAUGGCUGACGUAGAGGAGAGGAGAAUGGCUGUCGUAGAGUAGAGAGGAGAAAAGCUGUCGUAGAGGAAAGAGGAGAGAGGAGAAUGGCUGUCGUAGACGAGAGAGAAGAAUGCCUGUCAUAGAGGAGAGAGGAGAAUGGCUGUCAUAGAGGAGAGAGGAGAAUGGCUGUCGUAGAUUAGAGAGGAGAAUAGCUGUCAUAGAGGAGAGGGGAGAAUGGCUGUCGUAGAGGAGAGAGGAGAAUGGCUGUCGUUGAUUAGAGAGGAGAAUAGCUGCCGUAGAGGAGAAUGGAGAAUGGCUGCCGUAGAGUAGAGAGGAGAAAGGCUGUCGUUGAUUAGAGAGGAGAAUAGCUGCCGUAGAGGAGAAUGGAGAAUGGCUGCCGUAGAGUAGAGAGGAGAAAGGCUGUCGUUGAUUAGAGAGGAGAAUAGCUGCCGUAGAGGAGAAUGGAGAAUGGCUGCCGUAGAGUAGAGAGGAGAAAGGCUGUCGUUGAUUAGAGAGGAGAAUAGCUGCCGUAGAGGAGAGAGGAGAAUGGCUGUCGUAUAUUAGAGAGGGGAGUGGCUGUCGUCCAGUAGAGAGGAGAAUGGCUGUCACAGAAGAGAGGGGAGAAUGGCUGUCGUAGACGAGAGAGAAGAAGGCCUGUCAUAGAGGAGAGAGGAGAAUGGCUGUCGUAGAUUAGAGAGGAGAAUAGCUGUCGUAGAGGAGAGGGGAGAAUGGCUGUCGUAGAGGAGAGGGGAGAAUGGCUGUCGUAGAGGAGAGAGGAGAAUGGCUGUCAUAGAGGAGAGAGGAGAAUGGCUGUCGUAGAGGAGAGGGGAGAAUGGCUGUCGUAGAGGAGAGAGGAGAAUGGCUGUCGUAGAGGAGAGGGGAGAAUGGCUGUCGUAGACGAGAGAGUAGAAGGCCUGUCAUAGAGGAGAGAGGAGAAUGGCUGUCGUAGAGGGGAGAAUGGCGUCGUAGACGAGAGAGUAGAAGGCCUGUCGUAGAGGAGAGAGGAGAAUGGCUGUCGUAGAUUAGAGAGGAGAAUAGCUAGCGUAGAGGAGAGAGGAGAAUGGCUGUCGUAGAGUAGAGAGGAAAAUUGCUGUCGUAGAGUAGAGAGGAGAAUUGCUGUCGUAGAGUAGAGAGGAGAAUGGCAGUCGUAGAUUAGAGAGGAGAAUGGCUGUCGUAGAGUAGAGAGGAGAAUGGCAGUCGUAGAUUAGAGAGGAGAAUGGCUGUCGUAGAGGAGAGGGGAGAGCGUAGAGGAGAGAGGAGAAUGG
rnacentral:lncRNA from 1 species